GCUACUACCGAUUGAAUGGUUUAGUGAGGACUCCUGAUUGGCGCCGCCGCCCCGGCAACGGAGCAGCGGACUGCCGAAAAGUUGUUCGAACUUGAUCAUUUAGAGGAAGUAAAAGUCGUAACAAGGUUUCCGUAGGUGAACCUGCAGAAGGACA
rnacentral:misc_RNA from 1 species